AGCGGCGGACGGGUGAGUAACGCGUGGGUAACCUGCCUCGUACAGGGGGAUAACAGUUGGAAACGGCUGCUAAUACCGCAUAAGCGCACGGUACCGCAUGGUACAGUGUGAAAAACUCCGGUGGUGUGAGAUGGAUCCGCGUCUGAUUAGGUAGUUGGUGAGGUAACGGCCCACCAAGCCGACGAUCAGUAGCCGACCUGAGAGGGUGACCGGCCACAUUGGGACUGAGACACGGCCCAA
rnacentral:rRNA from 1 species